AGGGGAGUAGUUCAGCUGGUAGAACGUCGGUCUCCAAAACCGGAUGUCGCGGGUUCAAGUCCUGUCUCCCCUGCCA
rnacentral:tRNA from 3 species